rnacentral:rRNA from 1 species
AUUGAACGCUGGCGGCAGGCCUAACACAUGCAAGUCGAGCGGAUGAAGGGAGCUUGCUCCUGGAUUCAGCGGCGGACGGGUGAGUAAUGCCUAGGAAUCUGCCUGGUAGUGGGGGAUAACGUCCGGAAACGGGCGCUAAUACCGCAUACGUCCUGAGGGAGAAAGUGGGGGAUCUUCGGACCGCACGCUAUCAGAUGAGCCUAGGUCGGAUUAGCUAGUUGGUGGGGUAAAGGCCUACCAAGGCGACGAUCCGUAACUGGUCUGAGAGGAUGAUCAGUCACACUGGAACUGAGACACGGUCCAGACUCCUACGGGAGGCAGCAGUGGGGAAUAUUGGACAGAGGGCGAAAGCCUGAUCCAGCCAUGCCGCGUGUGUGAAGAAGGUCUUCGGAUUGUAAAGCACUUUAAGUUGGGAGGAAGGGCAGUAAGUUAAUACCUUGCUGUUUUGACGUUACCAACAGAAUAAGCACCGGCUAACUUCGUG